rnacentral:rRNA from 1 species
GACGAACGCUGGCGGCGUGCUUAACACAUGCAAGUCGAACGGAAAGGCCCUGCUUUUGUGGGGUGCUCGAGUGGCGAACGGGUGAGUAACACGUGAGUAACCUGCCCUUGACUUUGGGAUAACUUCAGGAAACUGGGGCUAAUACCGGAUAGGAGCUCCUGCUGCAUGGUGGGGGUUGGAAAGUUUCGGCGGUUGGGGAUGGACUCGCGGCUUAUCAGCUUGUUGGUGGGGUAGUGGCUUACCAAGGCGUUGACGGGUAGCCGGCCUGAGAGGGUGACCGGCCACAUUGGGACUGAGAUACGGCCCAGACUCCUACGGGAGGCAGCAGUGGGGAAUAUUGCACAAUGGGCGGAAGCCUGAUGCAGCAACGCCGCGUGCGGGAUGACGGCCUCCGGGUUGUAAACCGCUUUCGCCUGUGACGAAGCGUGAGUGACGGUAAUGGGUAAAGAAGCACCGGCUAACUACGUG